rnacentral:rRNA from 1 species
AAUGGGAGCAAUCCUGAUCCAGCAAUGCCGCGUGUGGGAUGACGGGGCUUUGCCUUGUAAACCACUGUCGGACGGGACGAGAAGAGGUAAGAACCUCUGGGACGGUACCGUCAAAGGAAGGAUCGGCUAACUACGUGCCAGCAGCCGCGGUAAUACGUAGGAUCCAAGCGUUGUCCGGAUUUACUGGGUAUAAAGGGUGCGUAGGCGGCUUUUUGCGUCAGAGGUGAAAUCCACGGGCUUAACCCGUGGGGUGCCUUUGAAACGGGAAGGCUUGAGUAUGACAGAGGCGGAUGGAAUUCCUGGUGUAGCAGUGAAAUGCGUAGAUAUCAGGAGGAACACCGGUGGCGAAGGCGGUCCGCUGGGUCAUAACUGACGCUGAGGCACGAAAGCGUGGGGAUCAAA